GACGAACCGUCCUAACGUUGUUCGGAAUCACUGGGCUUAAAGGGCGCGUAGGCGGGCAAUCAAGUCCAGGGUGAAAUCUUUCGGCUCAACCGGAAAAUAGCCUUGGAUACUGAUAGUCUUGAGGGAGGCAGGGGCCGUUGGAACUUCAGGUGGAGCGGUGAAAUGCGUUGAUAUCGGAAGGAACGCCGGUGGCGAAAGCGAACGGCUGGACCUCUUCUGACGCUGAGGCGAGAAAGCCAGGGGAGCAAACGGG
rnacentral:rRNA from 1 species